rnacentral:rRNA from 1 species
UACGGAGGGUGCAAGCGUUGUCCGGAAUCACUGGGCGUAAAGGGCGCGUAGGCGGCUCAUGAAGGCUGUGGUGAAAGUCCGGGGCUCAACCUCGGAUCGGCCGUGGCGACUCGUGGGCUGGAGCACUGUAGAGGCGGGUGGAAUUCCGGGUGUAGCGGUGGAAUGCGUAGAGAUCCGGAAGAACACCGGUGGCGAAGGCGGCCUGCUGGGCAGUUGCUGACACUGAGGCGCGACAGCGUGGGGAGCAAACAGG